rnacentral:tRNA from 1 species
UAAACCUUCUCUGAUUCUUCAAGUUCCACGAUGGUCCAAAGCGGCGUAGCUGCUUUGCAUGUUCAACCUGGUCCUCGAAACUUCUCGAACGAAUAAGAACACGAGCAGUCGGGCUCAGCGUGCGUGCCUUUAAGAGAAGGCCGCAGGGGAUCUGGGCAGCAGUUUUGGGCGAUGCCGGGCCUGUAGCUCAGUUGGUUAGAGCGCACCCCUGAUAAGGGUGAGGUCGGUAGUUCGAAUCUACCCAGGCCCACCAUCUAGCUUCAAAACUAUUCUGUGGUUACAGGGAAUGGGGCUGUAGCUCAGCUGGGAGAGCACCUGCUUUGCAAGCAGGGGGUCAGGAGUUCGAUCCUCCUCAGCUCCACCAUGUUCGCCCGUUUGAGCUGCCUGAAGUUGGGUGUCUAAGUUUUGCUUAGGCUUCGAACUUUGGGCAGGGCUUGAAUCGCACGUUGAUUUAAGCUUUGUUCGAUUCGCCCCAGGGCGAGCAUAGGCUCGAGAGUCUAUGUCUGAGAUGUUUGACAACGAAAUCGAUUGGGUAAAUACAUUACAAGGCUGAGCAACACCUUUGUCCUCAGGUUCGUACCUGGGAGACAGAGAGGUUGGUUAGUUGAGUGUCUUUAGAAUAUCUUGCGACUCUUUCUUGCAAGUUAAGAAGGGUCGCUAUGGCGAAUUACAUAUUGUUGACUCCUGCGUGGAGUUAAUUCUAUGGUCAAGCUACUAAGGGCGCAC